GUUCAAAAAAAAAAAAAAAGAAGAGGUGACUACUCCCUCCAUGUAUUCGUACUGGAAUGGUGGAUUGUCCACUCAUAGACAGUGCAGCUUAGUGUUCCGUAGAGACUCCCAGGAGUCUUAUACUGCCCUCAACCUCACCAGAGAGGUAUUAGACAUGCUGAAGUGCUGCAUCCUGUGAGGCACCCCUAAAAGGAUGGUAGACACCCUGCUAACUGCGUUCUAGGAUGGCGUCCAAAUUCUAGGCAUCUGAGAAAGUAACACGAUUCUGGGUCACAGCCAAGGAACUGCAAUGACUGCUCGAAAGCAGCACCCCUGGACUGAAGGAGCACCUUUGAGUGCUUUGUCUAACAGCGCAGCAAUGUGCAUGAUUCAAAUGUCGUCAUGUGCUCUGCCCACUGACCUACAUAAAAAUAGGACCAUGCUUUGCACCAUCCUUCCUCUGCUUGCACUUGAAGAUCGCAGGACUAUCCGCACUGAGCCAGACUACAAAAUUUGCUGCAUCGUCGUGCCCUUUCAUGAGCCUCAGUAUAACAGGUUUUCAAUGCUAUGAUAAAGAAAUGUUCUUAAGCACUACCUUUGGGGCAAGGGGCAAACCUUUCUUCUUGCGACGAAAUGCAGUUCGGCACUUGGAAUCAAUGUUAAGCUUGAUUCGAUCCCAAUCUGAGCUGUUCACAUCAAACAUGUGAACUAGGUGACCUGAAAUAGUGUGUAACACAAUAUAACAGUAUUACAGUUAUAACACUAUAUAAACAGUGUGUAACAUGGAAUAUUCUGAAGGAUAUAGACGUAAUAAAGCAAUUGUAUAAAGC